GCAUGAGAUACCUCGCGAAGAAACGAAGCGUGUUCCUUUACGCCCUUGAUGUUAAACGUCAGCGGCUCAGCUCCAGAAGCAAUCACCAAUUUGUCGUACGCAACUCUGAAACGUGCAGGAAGCAAGAAAAUAAUAGGAAUUAGGAUCCUUAGCCAAGGCUGUCUGUAUCUGAUUGACAGGCUCAGCCACUGAUCGGAAUUCCAAAGUCCCAACACAGGUCGAGGCAAGCAAAGGCGUGAAGACCAUAUGGUUUCUCGGCGAGAUGCAGACGACAUCGUACAAUUUGGUGUCGAUCCCUUUGAGGAAUCUGCACGCCGCCCAUCCGGUGCCGAGAACAACUAUCCGAGGCUUUUCCCCAGGCUUUGUUGCUUCGAGAGUAGCAUAAAUCUCGCCUUCACAAUCUGAUUUGGAUUCCACCUUAGUUGCUUGUGCGUUAGCAAAUUGAUGUUUAGGAGUCGUCCUGAAUUCCCUACGCCCAAAAUUCAUGCCUGCCAAUGCUCGGAAGCUCGAAAUGGAUGACAGCUCGAAAAGCUUGUUCCUCUCAGAAGCAUAACUGCGCGCGACGCCGCUGAAUCGCUGUAUGAUACAGAAUCAACGACGAAGCGGAAGCAAAAAUAAACACGCCACAAUACAAUGUCGUCAGUCUCCAACGGUUGAGAGCAUUUCCAGCAACCGUACACAAAUCAAAACCGUGAAAAACAAAAAGGAAACGAAUUGUCACAUCAGGAUGCAGA